UUUUAAAAAGAACUGUGUUUGGUCAGCUGUUUUCUGGGCGGAGAAACGCUGCCCAGCAAGGAUGGGAAACAGUACUGAAGGAGAUGGGCCUGCUGGGUGUGGUAUCCCCCUCUAGAGCGGCCAAAAAAUGGGAGAACCUAAA